rnacentral:rRNA from 1 species
GAUGAACGCUGGCGGCGUGCCUAAUACAUGCAAGUCGAGCGAACGGACGAGAAGCUUGCUUCUCUGAUGUUAGCGGCGGACGGGUGAGUAACACGUGGAUAACCUACCUAUAAGACUGGGAUAACUUCGGGAAACCGGAGCUAAUACCGGAUAAUAUCUUGAACCGCAUGGUUCAAAAGUGAAAGACGGUCUUGCUGUCACUUAUAGAUGGAUCCGCGCUGCAUUAGCUAGUUGGUAAGGUAACGGCUUACCAAGGCAACGAUGCAUAGCCGAGCUGAGAGGGGGAUCGGCCACACUGGAACUGAGACACGGUCCAGACCCCUACGGGAGGCAGCAGUAGGGAAUAUUCCGCAAUGGGCGAAAGCCUGACGGAGCAACGCCGCGUGAGUGAUGAAGGUCCUCGGAUCGUAAAACUCUGUUAUUAGGGAAGAACAGAUGUGUAAGUAACUGUGCACAUCUUGACGGUAACUAAUAAGAAAGCCACGGCUAACUACGUG